rnacentral:ncRNA from 1 species
GAGGUGUCUGUGUUUCAUUCCACAGGAUAAUAGGGAAGCCGGGUUAGAAUCCCGCACGGUCACGCCGCUGUAAUUGCGUAGUCUUUGCCACAUAUGUCACUGGGCAACCGGGAAGACGGUAAAGAUGAUGAUGCAUGAGUCAGAAGACCUACCCAUUGUAU